GCCAGGCAUGGUGGUGCACACCUGUAGUCCCAGCUACUUGGAAGGCUGAGGUGUGGUGGUACACAUAUGUAGUCCCAGCUACUCCAGAGACUGAGGCCAGAGGAUCGCUUGAGCCCAGCCAGGAGUUUUGGGCUGCAGUGCGCUGUGCUGAUUGGGUGUCCACACUAAGUUCAUCACCAAUAUGGUGAACUCCCUGGAGCCGAGGACCAACAGGUUGGCUAGGGAGGGAUGAAUCGGCCCAGGCUGGAAAUGGCGCAGGUCAAAAUUUCCAUGCUGAUUAGUAGUGGGAUGGUGCCUGCGAAUAGCCACUGCACUCUGGCCUGGCCAACAUAGCAAGAUUCUGUCUCUA
rfam:Nomascus leucogenys chromosome 18, whole genome shotgun sequence.